rnacentral:rRNA from 1 species
UACAGAGGGUGCUAGCGUUGUUCGGAAUCAUUGGGCGUAAAGGGCGUGUAGGCGGUUUGUUAAGUCAUGUGUGAAAUCCCUCGGCUCAACCGGGGAACGACGCAUGAAACUGGCAAGCUAGAGUACCAAAGAGGGGGGUGGAAUUCCCGGUGUAGCGGUGAGAUGCGUAGAUAUCGGGAGGAACACCUGUGGCGAAGGCGGCCCCCUGGUUGGAUACUGACGCUGAUACGCGAAAGCGUGGGGAGCAAACAGG